ACAAGCUUAACAUCAAAGCCGUUGAGUUGAGGAUGACCCAUGAUCUUUGCAUGUACACCCCUAACAUAUCAACCUGCCCUGCUCCAAAUGCUUGGCCGCAUAAAGUUUCGAGUGCACUUCCCAUCCCAAGCUAUUCAAGUUUUAAUCAAAUUUACCAUGAUGCCAAAGGAGAAACCGGCGAUGACUGAAUUCUCCACGGAGACGGCGGCAAGAGCUAGAGUGCCAACUUGGCCGGAAAAGACUUGAGUGAUAGCGCCGAGGGAGUAUCGGCAGAGAGAUGUGAAGAUGGCGGGGCCAGCAAGGAACCAGAGCUUCUUGGACUCUAUCAGGUAUUCUCUGAAGAAGUCACGGACGCCGUUGAUCGGUGGGAUGUCAUCGAUGCCGGGCGUGAAGGUGGUGUUUGAUGGUCUAGAAAGUAACUGCUCCUGGUGGUGGCUGUCCUCGCCAACUAGCCGAGGGGAAAGAAGCGGUUGCUCAGCGUCCUCCAUAGCCAUAGGAGAGCACAAAGAGCAAUCGGCCAAGAUAUAUAUAGAUUAUAUGUUUAGGAUAUAUUAGAAUUAGAAUAAAGGGGUUUUUUUUUUACUUAGAUAAUAUAAAAAAUAAUAUUUAAAUACCAAAAUGGUAUUCCAUCUCUAUUAUUUACCAAAAUGAUAUGGAUUGAAUACUAUUUAGUGGCACUUUUAGCGGCGUUUGAAUAAAAAACGCCGGUAAAAAUCGAGCAUUAGCGGCGCUUUAUGGAAAUCGCCACUAAAGAUCGAGCAUUAGCGGCCGCUAAAAAUGAGCAUUCGCGACGUUUUUCAGAAAAACGUCGCAAAAAACCAAAGCCCAUCGGCGUCGUUUUCUUACCUUUCAGGGCUUUUGCAGUGUUUUCAAAAAAGCGCCACUAAUGCUCGGGGUUUUAGCGGCGUUUUUCAAAAAGCGCCGCUAAUACUCAGGGUUUUAGCGGCGUUUUUGAAAAAGCGCCGCUAAAAACAUUUUAUCUUAAUUGGUUUAUUUAUAUUAAUUAAAUAAAAUUCAAUUUAUUUCUAAUUGAAUAUUUAAAAUCUUCAGAAAAGAAUAAUAACACGUAGAAAUAAUUUGAAAUAAAACACAUGGAAAAAUUAAAAUACUAUUAUUUAAAAUAAUUUUAAAGUUUUUUGGGUACAUGAUUACUGAUUAUUUUUUAAUUUAUAUAUUAAAUUUUUUUUAUAUAAUCAUAAAAGAGUUAGUAAUAAUUUUAAAAUAUUGAAUUAAUUAUCACUAUAGUUUAGGAUUUUUGGUUUAAGGUAUAUGAUUUAUUUAAGAUUUAAGGCUGGUUUAGGAGUUACUAUUUUAAGGUUUAAGGAGUAUUGAUUAAGGAUUAUGGUUUAAGGGUUGAGAUUUAAGGUUUAAGGGUUAGGGGUUAGGGGUUAGGGGUUUAGGGAUUUAGAGUUUAGGGAUUCAUGGGUCGAGUUAGGGUUUUGGGUUUAGAUUAAUUAUUUUUUAAUUUAUAUUUUAAAUAUGUUUUUUAAUUUAUAUAUUAAAUAAUUUCAUAUAUAAUUGAAAAAGAUAAGAUAGUAUCAAUUUUAAAAUAUUUAAUUAAUUAUCAUUAUAGUUUAGGGUUUAUAUGGUUUACGGUAUAUGGUUAAUUUAAGAUUUAAGGCCAGUUUGGGAGUUACUAUUUUAAGGUUUGAGGAUUAUAUAUGGAUUUAGGAAUUACGGAUUAGGGAUUAUGGUUUAAGGGUUGGGAUUUAAGAUUUAGGGGUUAGGAGUUAGGAGUUAGGAGUUAGGAGUUAGGGGUCAGGGGUUAAGAGAUAGAGAUUUAGGGUUUUAAGGGCCGAGUUAAGGUUUAAGGUUUAGAUUAAUUAGUUUUUUAAUUUAUAUAUUAAAUAUGUUCUUAUAUAAUUGUAAAAGAUAUAAUAAUAAAUUUAAUAUAUUGAAAUUAUGAGUAUAGUUUAUAUUAUUUAAGAGAUACAUAAUAGAUAGACUUUAUGUAUAUUGAAUGGUUAAUUUAGGGUUUAAGGUUUUCUUGAGAUUUGUUAAAUAAUACAAUUUUAUACAAUUAAUUAAUGCUUUUAUAUUUAAAAAUAUUUAAUAAUUCUUUAUGUAAUUCUUUAUGUAAAAUUUUAAUAAUUCUUUAUGUAAAAUUUAUAAGAAAUAUACAAUAAUUGAAUAUAAAAAAAUAUGCGAGCUUUAGCGGCGUUUUCAGCAAAAAACGCCAUUACUAUGUACUAAAAUUUCCCAAAACGGCGCCGUUUCAAUAGAAGAAUUUAAAUUUCUUAGUGGCGUUUUCAGAAAAAAUACCGCAAAAGAUACACAUUACCGGCAUUUUGAUAAAAAACACCGCAAAUUUGUAUUACAAUUUUUCAAUACGGUGUCAUUUCAGUUUAAGUAGUGGCAUUUUUUCUUUAAAACGUCACAAAUGUGAAAGCAAAUAAAAGAUAAUCAAAAUCCCGCUCACUUCCAAAAAAAAAUUUUUGGUUACCCGCUCAUUACUCCCUCUUCUUCUCAUCUCUGUCGUGCGCCCUAAAUCCCCCAAAUAAAAGUUUGUUUUUCUUUAGCUGAAAUCCCCCAAAUUUCCCAUUUCCAACAACAGACUUCAAGGAAGAAAACCAAAAGAUGGGAUGGGAUCACCCAGACAUAUCGCUGGAAGAAAUGAUGAAACUGAUAGAAGGGUUUGUUGAUAUCCUGGUUUUUUUGUUUUGUUUUAUUUUUUUUAAUUUUAUUUACUUUUAGGACUUUUUAAGGAAUGACAAGAAAGAAGAAUCUGGCAAUGACAAGUUCGACAAACCCAUAUCAGAGACUAGGGUUUCAAGGGAAGAAUGUGGUUCAAAUGGGAGAAAUCUAAAUAAGAAGAGAAGUUAUGCACAGUUUCAUUUAGAGUUAGGUCAAUCUGAUUUUCUUUUCCAUGCCUGUUCAAUUUGUGGGGUCAAGUGUUCUCCCGGGGAUGAAGCUGAUGAAAGGAACCAUUCCAUUUUUCACAAGAAUUUCAGUCUUGGGGUUCAAUUCAAGGCCCUUGCUGACAGAGAGAGCAUUCAAGCUAGAUCUGAGUUGUUUGCCUACAAUAUUCUGCCACUUGAUCAUGGAGGUAUUCAGCAAGCAAUUAUGAAAUUUCCUGAGGUCUGACACUACACGAAUAUACUCUGGUUUUCUUUUUUCAGUCCACUUUUGUCUCUAAGAGGUAGUUGUCACAAUAUUCCCCAUGGGGACAUAUUCCAUGCUAGCCCAUCCCUUAGUGAAGCUCAGUUCCUUUGUUUGAAUUCUUAUGCUUUAAGUAGAUAAGGGUUUCUAUGUACUGCCUGAAAACAUUUUGUACUUCAAAUAAUAAUAUGCCAUAUGAAAAUAAAAUAUUUUACCAAUAAAAUAAAAUAAAAAACAAGAAUCGAAUAUCAAAAAAUUUGAACAUAGAAGAAGUUUAAUCAAUUUGCUUGCAAAAACUCUUCAAGGUCUAUCUCUUUUCAUCUUCUUAAUUAAUUGUUACUCUUCCCAAUGGUCGCCUACCAAAGAAAACGACAUUUUGCCAAUCAAACUAGGUAUGUGUUUUCUUGGUUUUUUAUAUAUAUUCUUUUCUUUUGACAAAGAACUUGAGGUUGAACUGAUUUGACUAAGGACUUGGAGUUGAACUAAUUUGAUUCUUGUUUUUUAUUUUAUUUUAUUUUAUUUUAUUGGCAAGAAAGAUAAAAUAUUUUAUUUAUCAAAUAAUCUAAAAGAUUUUGAAUUCUUAUGCUUGUUGAUAAAGUUGGCGAUUUUGAGUGGUUAAUUCAGAAAUCUCCAUUAUCUUAGACUUGCAAAGUAGAACAGGACACUAACUGUUUUGGUCCCUUUUAAUAGAAACAGAACUCUCCAGGAUUUCUGCAUUAUUAUUUAGUGUGAACAUUACUAAUGUAUUUCCAUAUGACAGGUUCGUUCAACUUGAUGUGGGUCUUCUAAAGGUGCUGUUGAAGAAGCAAAAGCAGUUUUUGGUCAAGCAGCUGCUCUUUGUGUUCAAAAGCAGUACGUGGAUCAUGGGGCAGCUGGCCCAAUUUUGUAUAUUUCCAGUGAGGAUUAUAAUUUGGUUUUGUCGCGGAAUACAUUGAAUCUGAGAACUUGAGUGAUCUAGAAGAUGUUGAUACAUGUCUUAAGGUUUGGAGCCAUCAAACACUGGUGGUGUUGUCUUCUUUAUGGUUCAGACUGCGAGAGUGGAGAGGAGGAUAAAUGAGACAGAUAACUACAGCAAAUUGGUGUAUGUAUAGGAAGCUUAAAUUUUUAUUUUGUAGCAUUAAGUUUUCUGUAGCAUUAAGUUUUUAUUUUGUAUGCAUUGGUGUAUGUGAUUUUAUCAUGAGGAUAAUUGUUUUCUGUAGCUAUCUUUCCAUUGUUUAUUUUAGUUUUGAUUCUAAAUUUUUAUUUUUACUUUAAUAUUUACGACAAGUUGAGUUCUAA